GGGAAGUGAUAACAGAUGGCGCUACCACAAAACAAAAUGGGCGGUGUAAACGGGGUUAAAUUGUGUUUUGUAUGUAUCGUGCAUACGUAUUACCAUUGAGUAUUACUUUGUUUUGCCGUGUUUUAAUUGCAAUGAUUACUUUGGCGGAUCUAUUAGUGACACGGACACAAAGACCACUAAUUGAAGGCGAGUGCCUUGUUAAAGCAGGGCAUAUUAUUUUAUGUGGCACUACCAGCGAAAACGAAAGUGAGGCUAUUGCACUGUGUUUACAAACGUCGAAUUUAACAGGUGUCCCUCACUCUGUACGUAUUGUUUUAAAUCCAAGUGGACCUAAAGAUUGGCAGUGUAGCUGUUCUUGUAAAGUGGGGGCAGGUGGCAAGUGUAAACAUAUUACAGGAGUGUUCAUAUAUGUUAACCGGUAUGAAUUAGAAACAUUGAGUUGCACUGACUUGCAACAAGCAUGGGGUAAAAAGAAAGUACCUACACUUAUACUCUGAAGAUGACGAAUCUAUUAAUCGCUACUGUCACGUGAAGAAGGGUUUUGUUUCAACACAGCACGAUGAACUGCCAGAUAUUUUA